CACUGACAGCAAAGAGCAAGCUGCACAGCUUGAUCUCACAAACCACAAGAUCAUGACCUGAGCCAAGAUGAAGAGUCAGACGCUUAACCAACUGAGCCACCUGGCGCCCUUGUCUUCUUUCAUUUAAACUGUGCCGCUCAGUUGCAUGGAUCCCCCUCAGCUAAUCCUGCAGCACAAGGUAUGAGUAUAUGGAUAUACACAGAUAAUGGACUUUUAGAAAAAUUGGGGAUUGUACUAACAGCAGUGAGAAUGAGCAAGCCACGAAUAUAGUGACAACAUAGACUUAACAAACGUGAUAUUGAGCAUAGAAAGCCAGACACAGAAAAUUCACAGCUUAAAGGGGAAGUCGGAUGCUUCAAGAACAUGGAAACCACCACCUGUGGUAUGAUUCCCUCAACAGCUUUUAUUUCUAGUCCACUCUGGGAGCACUGAGAAAGCGCCUCCGCUUUGGAGCAAGUCCUGGGGUAGAAAAUCUGAGAGACCGCAGCUGGCACUUGCAUCGAGAAACCUUCAUCAUGCAUGGGAACUGUCCACCAUGGCUGCACCUGAGGUCAGGGCUGAGGGGGUGUGGCACGUGCACCAUUAUUAACAUGACAUCUUCCCAUAGUAACACAUAGAUCUCUACCAUUCUUUUUAUUUUUUAUUAUUUAUUUCUUAGAGAGA